AUUGGAAUGAAUAUAAUCAUCUCCGGAUAGUUGAUCGUGAGGGUAUGUAUAAGAAAUUUAUUGUUUUAAAUUAAAAGAACAAUUUUUAUUUUAAAUAACUUUUCGUCUAUAUUUAAUUAUAGUGCAUCGAAGAAAUGUUUAUAAUGACAGUUGUGCUUCGAAACGCCUUCUACGAACAUACAUGUCUGACCUAACCGGAAAAGUACUUAUAUUUUAUUUUCAACCCUCGACUUGAUGACUCAUUUCUACGUGGCUUCCGCCUGGGUGGGGCCAACUUCUCCAACGGGAACACGUUAAAAGGACUAUUUCGUCCUUUAUAAGUAUGUCAUCGUAGGUGGUUUAAAUGGAAAAACAUUAGAAAACGAAUGGGCAUCUUCAACAAAGAUAACUAAACAAUAAAUAGUAAUACAUCGGCCUUUUCUCCGAGGGUGUGCAGAUAAUUUCCGUUAAUCUAGUGACAGCG